AUUUAAAAAUAAACAUGUGGGACUCCAUGUUUGGCUCCCCUUCCACAAACAAUCCCUUCGUAGAAGCCGUUUUUUUCUCUCCUAGAUUUCCCCUCUGGGGUCCCUUCCACACUCUCUCAUGGAAGGCUUUC